rnacentral:rRNA from 1 species
UGGUUAAAAAGCUCGUAGUUGGAUCUCAACAGUCUUGAAGCGGUCAACUUUGUAGUUGUACUGCUUUGUAGACUGUGCUUUUGCUGGAGGUUUGGGGUGCUCUUAAUCGAGUGUCUCUGGAUGCCAGCAGGUUUACUUUGAAAAAAUCAGAGUGCUCAAAGCAGGCUAAAAUGCCUGAAUAUUCGUGCAUGGAAUAAUAGAAUAGGAUGUCGAUCCUAUUUUGUUGGUUUUCGGGACUUGACAUAAUGAUUAAUAGGGACAGUCGGGGGCAUUUGUAUUCAAACGACAGAGGUGAAAUUCUUGGACCGUUUGAAGACAAACUACUGCGAAAGCAUUUGCCAAGAAUGUUUUCAUUAAUCAAGAACGAAAGUUAGAGGUUC